GACGAACGCUGGCGGCGUGCUUAACACAUGCAAGUCGAACGGAAAGGCCCUGCUUUUGUGGGGUGCUCGAGUGGCGAAAGGGUGAGUAACACGUGAGUAACCUGCCCUCGACUUUGGGAUAACUUCAGGAAACUGGGGGUAAUACCGGAUAGGAGCUCCUGCUGCAUGGUGGGGGUUGGACAGUUUCGGCGGUUGGGGAUGGACUCGCGGCUUAUCAGCUUGUUGGUGGGGUAGUGGCUUACCAAGGCUUUGACGGGUAGCCGGCCUGAGAGGGUGACCGGCCACAUUGGGACUGAGAUACGGCCCAGACUCCUACGGGAGGCAGCAGUGGGGAAUAUUGCACAAUGGGCGGAAGCCCGAUGCAGCAACGCCGCGUGCGGGAUGACGGCCUUCGGGUUGUAAACCGCUUUCGCCUGUGACGAAGCGUGAGUGACGGUAAUGGGUAAAGAAGCACCGGCUAACUACGUG
rnacentral:rRNA from 1 species